GCUGGCGGCAGGCUUAACACAUGCAAGUCGAACGAGAAACUAGACUUCGGUUUAGUGGACAGUGGCAGACGGGUGAGUAACGCGUGGGAAUCUACCUUAGAGUGGGGAAUAACAAUUAGAAAUGAUUGCUAAUACCGCAUAUACCCUCCGGGGGAAAGGCUUCGGCCGCUCUUAGAUGAGCCCGCGUACGAUUAGUUUGUUGGUGAGGUAAAGGCUCACCAAGACUACGAUCGUUAGCUGGUUUGAGAGGAUGAUCAGCCACACUGGGACUGAGACACGGCCCAGACUCCUACGGGAGGCAGCAGUGGGGAAUAUUGGACAAUGGGCGAAAGCCUGAUCCAGCCAUGCCGCGUGAGUGAAGAAGGCCUUAGGGUUGUAAAACUCUUUCGGCAGGGAAGAUAAUGACGGUACCUGCAGAAGAAGCUCCGGCUAACUCCGUGCCAGCAGCCGCGGUAAUACGGAGGGGGCAAGCGUUGCUCGGAAUUACUGGGCGUAAAGCGAGCGUAGGCGGUUAAUCAAGUUGGUGGUGAAAGCCCGGAGCUCAACUCCGGAACUGCCAUCAAAACUGAUUUACUUGAGAUUGGUAGAGGAAAAUGGAAUUCCUAGUGUAGAGGUGAAAUUCGUAGAUAUUGGGAAGAACAUCGGUGGCGAAGGCGAUUUUCUGGGCCAAAUCUGACGCUGAGGUUCGAAAGCGUGGGUAGCAAACAGGAUUAGAUACCCUGGUAGUCCACGCCGUAAACGAUGAGUGCUAGACGUUGGGAAUUUAUUUUUCAGUGUCGUAGUUAACGCAUUAAGCACUCCGCCUGGGGAGUACGGUC
rnacentral:rRNA from 1 species